rnacentral:rRNA from 1 species
UACGGAGGGGGCAAGCGUUAUUCGGAAUUAUUGGGCGUAAAGGGCGCGUAGGCGGCCUGGCAAGUGGAAGGUGAAAUCCCUCGGCUUAACCGAGGAACUGCCCUCCAAACUGCUUGGCUUGAGUCCGGGAGAGGUGAGUGGAAUUCCCAGUGUAGCGGUGAAAUGCGUAGAUAUUGGGAGGAACACCAGUGGCGAAGGCGGCUCACUGGACCGGAACUGACGCUGAGGUGCGAAAGCGUGGGGAGCAAACGGG